UAGACAAGGUCAUGUCACUUGUACAAAAGCUUCUCAUGCUGCCGUCAGCAUUUUGCUCAAUCCCGCACUAAUAUGAACACAUUACACUAGCAAUAUGACAGUUUCCCUAAUGGUGAAUCAUCAUUUUUGGGGUACAAAUAUGAAUGGAAAGAGUAGUGAUUGAGUACUUAUUUAUGUUACCUUGUUUCUCUGUCUGCAGCUCCCUGUCUGAUCUCGUACUGGAGACUUGGGUCCUGGCUGGAUGCCACCAGCUGCCCUCUGUGUAGACAAAGGGUGACAGACUACUUGUGUGACACGCCCCUGUUCCUGCAGCGGCAGGGUAGCCUAGUGGUUAGAGCGUUGGACUAGUAACCGGAAGGUUGCAAGUUCAAAUCCCCGAGCUGACAAGUGAUCUGGUGAGAUGGUGAAAGCUACAUGGUGGAACCUACACAACUAGUUUCACCAUGCGGUGUAGGCCUACCAGUGGAGGCUGGUGGGAGGAGCUAUAGGAGGACAGGCUCAUUAUAAUGGCUGGAAUGGAAUGGUAUCUAACAUAAUUCCUACUAAACUCAUUUGAGAGUGGGCAUGUUUGAUGGAUUACGAUGUAGCAUUUUAUUUUGUUUUUUUGUGUAGUGGUUUUUUGUGUAGUAUUUCUACUCCUACAGUAUAUACAGUACCUGUAGCCUUUAUUUUGGAGACAGUUAUGGUUCAGUGAGCCCCGGGGUCUGUUCAGGAGGGUGCAGAUUAAAUGUAGGCCUAUUGUGUUGCACCCUACUGUCAAAUUAAACUGUAAAUACUUGAUAUUUUACCAAGGCGUUGUUGAAAACUUGCUUCUGAUUGGCAUUCUAGAAUGUGCAUUAUGGGAUAAUCAAGGGGGCUAUGCUUUCUUUGGAAAAUAAUGAACACGUGGAAGGUGUGUUCCACGACACACCACUAGCAGAGUGGAACUGACCUUCCUUGGAGUUGCAUUAUUUUCUGGAGAACGCAAGUUGAUUAUCCCUUUUAUACCAUGGCUAUAAAUUAACAUGUGUUCUUUGCUGGGAGAAAUGUGCUUAACAUACACUGAAGUAGCUAGCUAGCAACUUAACUAGAUAGCUACAGUAGUUUCUGUGGUAACCGAACAACCAGACUUGCUAGUUUAGCUAACCAAACCAUCAGUCCUAACUUGCUAUUAUGAAUUUUGAAUUCAACAUUAGACCUUUGCUUUCAAAAGCAAUGUUGUGGAAAUUCUUACACAGGGCCACUCAAAGUAAAUCUUAAAUGAAUCAUUUUUUAUUGUCAGCUUGCUGGAGAGGUUCCAACCAACUCAAUGCACCAUAGUACACAUGUCGAUCAGGGUCUCUAAUGUGGCAGUCCCGUUAGUUAUUUUAUAUACUUACACAGAAAGUAAUACUUGCAUGAUUUAGCCUGUUCAGUAUUUAUUUGCUAUCAUUCAUGUGACGGAUUGCUAUCCUUCAUGUGACCGACCAAUACUGGUUCAUGCAUGUGGCAGACCAAUACCUCAUGAGGCUUCUUCUCUCCAAGCUGAGACCUUGAAACUGGGGGUCUGGGCGUACUUCCAAAUUUCAAAUACUACAGUGAGGAUUUCUCACUUGCAUGAACACAGAAAUUGGUUAUCAGAAAAGCACAAACAGAACACAGAAAUUGAUUAUUUGAAAAGCACAAACAAACAUUUCCAUCACAGCAGCUCAAACAAAACAUGUACAAAUUCACUAUAGCCAUUGAACUCUACAGUGAAAAUAUACUGUGCGCUGUAGGGAAAUAAUGCACACUCUAGAAUGCCCUUCAAGCCAAUCAGAAAAGACUAUUCAACAAUUCCAUGGUUUAGGCAAUAAGACAUGAGGGGUGUGGUAUAUGGCCAAUAUACUACGGCUAAGGGCUGUUCUUAGGCACGAUGCCAUGUUACCAACUGGUUACCAAUGUAAUUAGAGCAGGUAAAAUAAUGCUUUAUCAUAUCUGUGGUAUACUAUGGCUGUCAGCCAAUCAGCAUUCAGGACUUGAACCACCCAGUUUAUAAUUAAGUGAUAAUGCCAGAGAAGCAUUGGAGGAUAUUUGGAAGAUAUAUUGGCAGUGUUUGGAGGCUAUAUUGGCACGGGUGUUGUUAGGCCCGAGACGAAGUCUGUUCUCAAUGUUCCAUUUCCAUACUGGCUGGCAACGUUCUUAUCCCUUGCUUGCUAGUUAACCAACUAUGGCCAACUUACAUUCACACCAAAAAAGUGCAGCCAAAGUAACUGCAUUUGCAUUUGUUUAAGCUGUUUUCGAGACCUUGAAUGUGGAUUCAUCCAUAACAAUGAACUAAUAAUGUGCGAUUUUGCCUGGCAUAGAACAUUUGCCCUCUCGCCAGGCCACUGUUCAGAAUAGCCAAAUACACAGCUAACACAAUCAUUUCAACCUGAAGCUGAAAUGAAAGCAAACGAGCUACAUUUCGUGUUUUUCUUUUCUUUGUAUAUGGCCAAAGAAAUUAUGCAGAUUCAUGAUUUCGACUGGCUGAGAAAAUCUGCAAGCCUGUCUUUCUCGAGACGUUCAUUACCAUAGGACAGCUGGAGAUUGAAUUUUAUUACAAAUCUCCGCUGUUGAAAACCAAAUGCUAGUCUAAAAGAAAUGGGAGAUAAUGUCUAGAUGCUUUUUACAAUGUAGAUCUAGUAAAUAAAUGGCCUGGCUGAACUGAUUAUCCAGUCAGAUGGAGUAAAUAGGUAUAGAAUUAGCCUGUGGUCAUUUGUGAAUUAUAAACUGGGAGGUUCGAGCCCUGAAUGCUGAUUGGCUGAAAGCCGUGUUAUAUCAGACCAUAUACCAUGGGUAUGACAAAACAUUUAUUUGAAAAUGCUCUAAUUACUUUGGUAACCAGUUUAUAAUAGGCACCUCAGGUGUUUGUGGUAUGAUGCCAAAAUACGGUACCACGGCUAAGGGCUGUAUCUAGCUACUCCGCGAUGCGUCGCGCAUAAGAACAGCCCUUAGCCAUGAUAGUUUGGCCAUAUAGAAAAGUUUUUGGUCAUACGCACAUCCUUAAAAACAUAGAUGCUGGGCUAAUAAAGAAUACUAGUAUAGAACAAGAAGGCCCGCACACUGUUAAAGCUCCCAAUUCACAGAUUUAUUGACAACGUUUCGAUCUGAAACUAAUCUUCGUCAGGUCAAAUAAACUGAGUGCUCACAUCCCAAAAUAUACACAUUUCACCUCACAUGACCAUUGUGGACAUGACGCAUGGUGGGUGCAAAAACAAUGUUUAUCUCUAAUCAUUGAAUAACAAUGAGAUGAGUUCAUGUAGUAGUUCCAGAAAAUAAUAUAUAUUUACAAAAUGACCAGGUGGGUAACCUGGAAGGCAAGACAAAUUAAAGUGACAUAUUCACUUUUAUUUAUCAAACUCUUGGUUCAGACCUCUAGGAGACAUGGUACACAAACGUUGAAUCCAGUACAAUUCUCUUCUCAAUAAUAGAUGAUCAGUAUCUCCCCCCCUUCUAGGAGUUUUAACAUGUUCGAUGCCAAUGUGUCUCGAAGAGCUAAUGUUGUGACGAGACUCCACAAAAUGCACAGCCACAGGGUUUCUCUGGUCAAGGGUCCUGAUAUUACUCCUGAAUUCUGCUAUCCUUGUUUUCAGAGCUCGUUUUGUUUUUCCUACAUAGCAUAGACCACAAAAACACUUGAUGUAAUGAUGCCCAUAUACUACACCCCCUCGUACCUGAUUGCUCAAAUAGACACCACCUGGAAUGCGGUUUUAACCAAUCAGCAUCCAGGAUUAGACCCACCCAUUGUAUAAUUCCAUAUAAUUUACAGUAGAAUUCAAUGGAUAUAGUUCAUUCUUACAUGUUAAGAGUGUCUUGAUAAGAUUGUCUGCUAAAUUAUGAAAUGUUAUACAGUAUGUUUCAAUUGCUUUUGCCAGCAGCAUACCACCCCGCAUCCCACUGCUAGCUUGCCUCUGAAGCUAAGUAGGGUUGUCCUGUCACCUGGUCGGUCCCUGUAUGGGAGACCAGAUGCUGCUGGAAGUGGUGAAGGAGGGCCAGUAGGGGGCACUCUUUCCUCUGGUCUAAAAAAAUAUCCCAAUGCCUCAGAGCAGUGAUUGGGGACAUUGCCCUGUGUAAGGCUGCCAUCUUUCGGAUGGUACAUUAAACGGGUGUCCUGACUCUCUGUGGUCACUAAAGAUCUCAUGGCACUUAUUGUAAGAAUAGGGGUGUUGUUAACCAAGGUAUCCUGGCUAAAUUUCAAAUCUGGCCCUCAUACCAUCAUGGCCACCUAAUCAUCCCCAGCUUCCAAUUGGUUCAUUCAUCCCCCUCUCCCCCUUGUAACUAUUUCCCAGGUCGUUGCUGUAAAUGAGAAUGUUUUCUCAGUCAACUUACCUGGUAAAAUAAAGGUUAAAAAAUAAACAAAUAAUUGAAUGCCAAUGUCAAAUUGAAAGCAUUGUUGAAUUCGAUUUUCAAAGUGGUGUUAAGUACUUAAGUACAAAUAUUUAAAGUACUACUUAAGUUGAUUUUUUGGGUAUCUGUACUUUACUUUACUAUUUAUAUUUUACUGCAAUACAUUGCUAAAGAAAAUAAUGUACUUUUUACUCCAUACAUUUUCCCUGACACCCAAAAUUGUCCAAUUCACAGACUUAUCAAGAGAACAUCCAAGGUCAUCCCUACUGCCUCUGAUCUGGCAGGCUAACUGAACACAAAUGCUUUGUUUGUAAAUGAUGUCCGGGAGUUGGAGUGUGCCCCUUGCAAUCCAUCAAUGUAAAACAAAAAUCAAGAAAAUUGUGCUGUCUGGUUUCCUUAAUAUAAGGAAUUUGAAAUGGUUUAUACUUUGACAUUUGAGCAAUUCCAUUUACUUUUGAUACUAAAGUAUACUCAAGUAGUAUUUUACUAGGUGAUUUAACACUUUUACUUGAGUUAUUUUCUAUUAAGCUAUCUUUACUUUUACUCAAGUAUGACAAUUGAGUACUUUUUCCACCACUGGAUGUUCAUAAUGUCAAGCUAGGUCUGAUGGUUUGGUUACCACUGCAAGUAUUGUAGCUAUCUAGUAAACUUGUUAGCGUCUAAAGUAAAUGUUAAAUUAUAGCCAUGGUAUUAAAAGGAUAAUCAACGCUCUUUCUCUGGAAUAUAAUGCAACUCCGUGGAAGGUCAGAACACCUUUCAAGUAGCUUGUUAUUUUCCAUAGAACACCCCCACGUUGAUUAUCCCUUAACAUUGUGAAUACUUGUAAAACACUUCUAUUCUAUAAAUGUUGUAUUUAUUGUUCUAAAA